AAUGAAAAAGUAGUCUCUGCUCCAUGAUUUAUAUAGCCGCAGUAUUUUGACUGUGCUAAGGUAGCAUAAUAAUUUGUCUCUUAAUUGGAGGCUAGGAUGAAAGAGUUGACGACACCUAUACUUUCUUAGUUUAUUCAAUGGAAUUUGAUAUUUGCCUUAAAAAGUGCAACUUUCUAGAGGGACGAUAAGACCCUAUGAAACUUUUAUCUAUUGAACUUUAAUGUAUUUAGGAGGGUUAAGGACUAUUAAAUUAAGCUGGGGCGGCAGUUAGAAUGCACUAAUAGAAGUAACAGAAUUAUUGAUAAUAAAGAUCUUACCUGAGAGUUAGAAUAAGUUACUUUAGGGAUAACAGCACAAUUUUUUUGUAUAGGUCGUAUAGAAUAAAAAGACUUGUGACCUCGAUGUUGAAUUGGGGGGACCCGCUAAAGUAGAAAUUAGUGUGGGGGGUCUGUUCGACCCGUAUUUCCCC
rnacentral:rRNA from 1 species